rnacentral:rRNA from 1 species
AUCUAUAGCUAUACCUGCUUGUCAAUGUCUGAAGCUAAGCAGGACUGGGCCCGGUUAGUACUUGGAUGGGAGACCGCCGGGAAUAGCAGGUACCGCAGUGGGGC